CACUACACCUAGGUAGGGUAUCUGAAGUUUUUUGUAUAUAACUUAACGAAAUAUCAACAGAGGAGCUUUUGAUGAAAAUAGAAAAAUGAAACUAUAGAGUAUUAAAUUGAUGCACUUUAAACCACAGGGUACUAAAGUAAGAAAGUGCAAAAUCAAAGGGUACUAAAUUGAUACACUUUAAACCACAGGGUACUAAAGUAAAAAAGUGCGAAACUAUAGGGGUGGUAUUUGAAGUUUUUUCUAAGUAAUAAGGUUUGUUUGUUUUAUCGAAACUGAACUUUGGGUUUGAAGUAGAGUUCGGUAAAAACAACUUCUUCCUUGAUAUUUGUUUUAUAGUUAUGGAAGUAAAGUUCCUUCAGUUCUGCUAUUUAUUUGGCAGAAAAUAAAUAAUAUAAAAUUACAAUUUAUAUAUAAAUAAUAAAUAAUCUAAUAAAUAAAAAUAAUAUAAUUAUAUUCCUACAUAAUUAAAAAUUUUAAUCUAAGACAACUAAAUUAUUUUAUAAUAAUACAACAAUAAAAUUAUAAAGUAAAAAAAAUAUAUAAAUACUUAACUAAUCAAUUUUCAUCAUAUUUUAGAUGAACAAACUAGAUGUACCAAAUUUUAAAUUAU
rnacentral:lncRNA from 1 species